AUCUGUGUGGGUAUAUGUUUAGUCCCAUAUCAGUUAUUCGUCGGAAAGAUCUUGAGGUUAGAAAUCAAAACACUCUGUGCGCGCGUGUGUGUGUGGUGGAGCAUUCACCACCCCCUCCCCUGAAGUCUGAAAACACCACCAGGCUACCAGCUUUUUGAUAACGUGAUAGAUGCCGGUUUUUUUUAAAAAACAUUAAAGAAAAACCUCUAGGUCUGAUCGAAGCGAUAGAUAGGUAUAAUGGUAAAAAAAAUAAAUCCCAAAGCAACUAAAAACUUUGACGUGGAGGUUCAAGAAAACAGAAAGGAAAAGGUUAAUUCGAAGAACUUCAAUUAGAAUCGGUUGUUUUCUGGUGUUAGAUACUUGGGAAGAGUGGAGCAUAGAGUGUUCAACACGUUGAGAUGGUUUUGUUUCCCAUCACUUACAAUUGAUCUAAGAGAGAUGGAAAACUAACUCCCUUGAUUUGUCUGAGGGUGAGGAUUGUAUGAUGGAAGCAAAGAUAUUCUCCUCCCAUGCAAUUUUUUUAUCUCCUUGCAAGGUUUUUCACCCUUCCAUUCUCUGAGUGGUCUGAAAAGCUGGGGACCAGAAAAACUCGUCA
rnacentral:lncRNA from 1 species